GCCAGAGGGAAGAUUUUGCAUAUGAUCUCUCCGCAUCGUCAGAAAAAGUAAAAAGAUCUGGAUCGCUGGCAGAUCAAAGCUGUGUCGUUCAGGGAGUGUUUAAAAACGAGCGCACACGCUUGUCUUUGUGAAGCCAGGCUCCAUUCACAGAGCUCAUACUUCCUCAUCCCGAGCCACAACUUCCAAUUGCAUCAGUGCUCUCUGUUUAAAGGAGUUUGUUAGCAUCUAUUUCUGAGCAGAACCAGCUAGUCCAAAGACAUUUCUGCACUUGAGGCAGACUUUGCCUUAUUUAUUAAUAUGGGCUGCCACAACCUACAUGCUCACAAAAUAAAACUAAAAGAAAAUAAUAAAUAAAAUAAAAUCCAUGUACCACAUACCCACUAGCAGGGAAUGAAUGAAAGGGGAAAACAGUGCAGCAAAUAAAAAAGUAAUAAAAAUUGGAUUCAAGGAGACACAGGAACAUUUAUUAUUUGAGGACUGUUUCAAAGCUUUGUGAUUUAUCUGUUUUGCUGCUAUGCUGAAGGCAACUGCUAUGAGAGGCAAUCCCAAAGUUUGGCAUAAUCAACCCUUUGUUAGUAGAUCAGACUGAAAAUAACAAAGCAUUCACAGAUCAGUUCUGUUUACUGAAAGGAACAGAGUGCAAAUGUAUUCAAAAAUAUACACAGAAAGGAGCAAGGCAGAUAGCAAAUGAAUCUGAAACAAACCACUUUCCAGCCAGGCACAGGAGAGCGACUCCCUGUGAGUGACAACACUACGAGGAGACAAACGCCGCUUGUUUCCAACUGCCCGCACUUCCGCCUCCUCCCCUUUCAUUCAAUACUUGGUGCUAGUGAUGCUCCCUCACCUCCAUGACAUGCUGGCUGCAAAGACUUUUAUCUCAAUGAGGAGAGCAGGCUGGAGAAACCCUAUGAUCACACGCUCUUGUUUCAGGCUGCAGUGUCAGUAUUGGAGCACUUGAUUCCAAAAGCAAAAAUCAUCUACACACUGAAAAUACAAGCCCUGCCAGGUGGUCCUGUCACCCACCCCUUUCACAGAUUAAUCUGCAGCAAGAUCAACUCCAGGAGCAGGCACCUGGUUGCAUGAGUGCUAUUGCUAGUGAAGAAAAUAGUGCACAUGUGUAUGCACGUACAUAUGUGUGUAUAAGGGAAAGGCAGGAACAGAGAAUAGAGACUGCAGGGACAGGACAGUGACUGUUUAGAUUUGCUUAAAAUGCCAUGAAUCCUUAAAACAACCACAAGAGUUUUUAAUCAAGAAAUAAGCAAAGCUCAAAGCUCACAUCCCAAGUGAAGAGCAUAAAUAGAGCAGAGAAUUAAUUUACCAAAAGCAACAAACCAUGGAAAGAACAAAAAAUUGAUAGCAAAUAUAAUGUAGAAUAGGAGGGAACCUAAACACAGGGUAGCACUCAUGGCAAUUGUGGAGCGAACUAUGGUAAUGGAAAGUGUUCUGAGUAAAGGGUCAUCUGAGCUACAGGUGAUAGGGGAGCAAGAGUUCCCCAUAAAGGAGUAGCACAAUAAUUCAAUAGAUGACACUCUGCAUGUAAGAGAAGAGCAUGCAGUGCAAACCAGAAACAAAUUUUAAUGGUCAGAUUUGGACCAAGACAUAACCUUAGCAAAUAGAAAUAUGAAAUAGACACUAAGGCUUUAGCUAAUAAGAUGUAAUAACUACAAAUACUUUCCCAGCAUCAUGCAAAUGAAGGAAGCAAAGUCAUCCAACCAACAUAAAUGUUGGUAUGAUUGUUAAACCAGUGGGACAGUAAAUUACAAAGAAAAAAGUUAUACUGGUCUAAAUGUCAGUUAUUCUUAGCUCUAGUAGACUGUUAUCAGCCAACACUGCUGGAUAACAUUGGUGUUUUCUUGUCCACUUUCAAAAAGAACACCCCGUUUUACUAUUAAGCUUAUAGUGGGAUCACAUCAACAUGACCAAGAUGGUGAUCUGCCUUGCAAGACUCAGCAUCACAGAAAAUAAAAUGCUGGUAUAUAGAUUUAAGAGAACAAGAAACCAUAACACAAUCAUAGUUAAAAUUACCAAGAAACAGAAAAAUAUUAUAAUUGUAAAAUAAAAUGAAGUGGCAAUAUAAUAGGUUUUUGAUCUGCCAUGAAAUACUUGGAGUACAGUGCAGGGACUCCUGACCAGAGGCUGAACAGGCUGCUGUGGCUAUGCGGUCCAACACAGUACAUGGCAGAUACACUAAACAAAGCUCUGAAAGCUUGACAUCUGCAUUUACACAACGCUGCAACCAGUUUGUUCUGCAAACAGAAGAGAACUAUGAGAAGAAAGACGCUAUCAACCUUUUAUUUUUUGAAGGAAAAUAUCUUGAAGUUUGAAAUACAGACAAGACAACCACAUAACAGAAAUACUCCUAAGUGCAGGUUAUGACAAGCCAGAAGGGCUUCUUUCUUCACCUUGGACUGGCAAAUUUCACAUCAGAUAUUCCAAUAUGGACAUUGCAACCCAGAAGUGGAGCAGAAUCCAAAAGAGUCGAGCUUAUUUAAGUAUCUACAACAAAGUUGGAAACAGAUGAUGUUGUCCACUAGAUUACUCAGACUUAUUAGAGCUAAACCAUGGAAAAAUGGAUGCACUUCAAUGAAUAAGCCUUCAGCGGUCAGUCAUGCUUCAAAUUGGAUCCUUCAGUUUCUGAAGGACGACUGCCUUUUCUGCAGAGUUGGGGGACACAAAACAUGGUGAUACUAUUGCCUGCGACCGGCCAAACAUGAUGCAAGAUAAGACAGAAGGAGGAAGGUUUUUUGGAAGAAUACUGUUUCUGUUUCGCCCCAUUGCUGUCUCUCACACACCCUGCUGAGUGAAACUUGUGAUCAGUUGAAGAUUCUUGUCCUCUUAAGAAACAGACUGAAGACGGUGCACCUUAUUCUGUGCAUACAGACCCCCAGCUGCAGUGCAUACGAGGCUGAUCCACCUUGUCCAGUAGCUACGGCCCCAACUGAAAUUCAAGAGAAGGCCAAACUCAAGAGAAUGCAAAUGUCUUUCUAAACAUUAGUCACAUCAAACAACUUAAAUAAAGGAUAUUAACUGAUGCACUUGAAAAUGAAAUGUGAUAAAAUUAUGCUUUCUUCAGCUGCUGUACAGGGAAAAUAACUGAUAAACUAAAGAUGAGUAAAUUUAAGAUGGAUCAGGUAAAAAUUUCUUCCAACUGUAGUUAAAGGAACUGAACACAAAAUAUCUGCAGAGCCAUUUUUGGGGUUGGGUUGGGUUGGGUUGGGUUUUUUUGGUAUGUGUGGGCGUUUUUUGUUUUGUUUUGCUUUGUUUGUUGAUUGUUUUUUUAAAGUGCAAUAAUUAGACCUGUUGUAGCUGUAUCAAUGUGUGUGUUUCAAGGAUACCGCAAUCUCAUCUUCCAGGGAAGGACGUUACAGCUUGCAAAAGAAAUCAGCAAGGAAUCUACUCCUCUUUCGUGAACAUAUAUCCCUUCUCUCUGAGUGACUUAGAUGGGCAUAUUUGUAGAAAGGUAGUCCUUCAUUCUCUGAAUAACCAGAUUAUAAAACAGUAGGUAUUGCUGAGGGCGAGAAAUCAGACUUGAUGGUCUGAUGCAAUAUGGCAUUUCCUGCAGCUCAACUAGUAGUUCAUUUCCAUACAAAGUCCUUUAAAUAGCUAGGUAAAAAUUCCACUCUCCCUUGGCUAUUUCUGUCAACAGAAUUUGCAUUGCAUGCAAUAUUUACUGCAUCCUUCAGGAAUUGUGUUUGACUUGUCUCACACUGGCAUCUGUACAGGUUCAGGUGCAUGUAAAUUCCCCGAGAGGUUAUGAAGGAGCCCAAGGGCACAGGAGCUCCAAGAGGCAGCCAAGGGACUAAGCAUCAAAAUGGCUUGUUGGGAUUGUGCUGAGACUGAGAUAUUAUGAGAUAGCUGUGUGAAAAUACCUGUUCAAGGCAAGAAUUAAGACACAGCAGACAUUCCAUAUUAAAGAACAGUCUGGCAUGCUGGCAGCUAAUUGAUUGUUAACGUUUAGUAUGUUUGUAGAAAGGAGCAUAAGGAAACAAUUAAGCCUCCAUACUGCUUAUAAGCUGUAGAACUGAUUUUUUAAAAUCUUCUCUUAUUUGAGAGAAAAUAAAAGCAGCUUCCAGCCUGCUGUUAAAGUUUAUGCACCUAAAGCAGGCAAUCUAGUUUUCUUCUGACGAUAUUUAAUUUACAUCACAUUUAAUACCAAAAUGUGCAUUCUCCCUCUGCUUUUAUCAUCAAUUAUCUCCUCUUUAAUGAAACUGCAUGUUUCAGAGACAGAAAACAAUCCUACUCUUUUUAAAAAGUGAACAGAACAGCAGCUGUUUAUUUUGGAGUGUUCAAUGACAUCAGAUCAAGUUCUCUUCCCUCCAAAAUAAGAGUUGAGUUUUAAUGUCUGUUCCCUGAGCAGCAUUUUCUUGUUAGGCAACAUUUUUCCCCUCAGUUGUUAGAAAAUAGGUAAAAAAGAAAAAACCAUAGCUUUCCUUUCACUAGAGAGCAUAGUGAUUUGGGGUUUUAGCACAACUUAGUUCUCUUUGAAAUAUAGACAUGUCUCUGAUUGGAAUUCCAAAAUAAACAAAGAAGCCUCAGCCAAACCCUAGAGAAAGGAAGAAAAAGGAGAUCUAAAGCAGUUAUCUCUGCUGUCAGCAUGCUGAGCAAAGAAUUCUCCCUUGAUUUCCAGCAAAUAUUUCAGCGAGAGCAAGAUGAGGUCUUUAUUAACUGAGAGGUGAAGACAAAUAACGUUCCACUGACUGUGCUCUGUAAGCGAAAUGAAAAGGCUCUAUACUUGGAAAAGCAAACUAGAUCCUUCUGAAGAACAGGGAACAUUGCAGAAUCUAAACUCAUUUCCUUUACAAUGUCCUCUCCCCCAUUUAGGCUCUAUACUAGUUGUUACCUCUUCCCUUUUGAUAAGUUUUAUCAAGUUUUUUUGUGUCUUUUUCCCCUUGUUUGGGCUGAAAUCUAUUAAUACAUAACCAGCCUGUGGACAUAUCAUCGUCAUAUAAUGUGUUCUGUAUACCUCCAUGUAGCACCUAUCUUUUGCCCCUUCUUAAAUGCCCUGGAAAUAGUUUUCCCCCCAUUCCCUUCAAACAAAGCUUCAAACAAAACACACUUCAUGAAUGCAAAAAGAUAUAUACUGAAGCACGUUGGUAGGUUUUCUUCUGUUCCAAAAAGUUGUCCAGACUGUAGCCUGGCCAGCAUGUGCAAUGUAUCUGCCCCCAGCCGUGACUUUCUUGGGGAGUACCUGAUCAGCACCUCAUUGGACUGGUGUGCAUCUAACAGGGUUGAAGUCAUUAGGCUGCCUGCAGCACGAGCUUCACCAUAAUGCUUCCUAGUGGCUUCUGAACAGACUGCAUAGCCACCUGAUGCCCCAGUGUGAGCUGACAAACUCAUUCUGCAGCAGAGAACACAGCCAGCAGCUCCUUUCUAAUUUGAGCUUAUCUCCCUUCUGUGCCCACUGCAAGCUCUACUGAACUGGCCUCAGUGCUGCCCUUGGCCCUCCUUCCUGGGCACUGUUACCUCUGUUGUACUUCUAACUAUGCUGAAGGAUGGUACCAGUCCUGUGAGUUCCCCUGUUCUUUCAGAUGUUUUUUUUGACCGUACUAGAUCUCUUAACUAUCACAAAAGCCCAUAGGUGUAUCAAAUCUGGAAAUGUACUUGGUAACUAUCCCAAAUCUAUUUCCUCUACAUGCCCUGAGCUGGACAUAUUCCUAAUGAUUCAGUUUCUCUGGUACUAGACAGUGUCCUUCAGAUGUCACAUGCUCUCUUCAUCUUCAGUUUCUGACAUAGCUUUCACUUUAGUUUGAUAUCCUGCUCCCAGCACCCUAUCUGGGAUUGUUACAAUUUGGUACAGUGCUGAAUUCUCUCCUCUUUGAGUCUUCCUGCAGGAAAAGCAAUAUCAAAUGCUGUCUUCGUGCCCAAGGUUCCCUCUAGCUCUAAUUUCUGUUGACAGCGAAACGCCUCUUGAGUCACACUGAUGGCCAGAAAUGUUUUUGUUGUUUGGGUUUUUGUUUGCUUGGGAUUUUAUGUUUGUUUUUAAAAAAAAAGAAUCUCCUGAAACCCAUGGAAAAGGUCACCAAGGGGCUAAUACCUCUUUUUCAUAUGAGUGUCCUAAUGCCAAAACUUAGCACUGUAAGAUGAUCUAUACCUCACAGAAGUACUGAACAAGCAUUACACUUAUGACUUUUUGCCUGAUGGUUCUGAUGUGUUAUAUUUUAUGAAGGCUCUGGAUGACUCUGCCAGGACAAGUGUCAAGAUCUGAUUAUCAUUUCUUUUGGCAAUAUUUGUAUUAAAAUACAUAGGUCAUCAGACACAAUAUUUUUGACCUUGUGCUUUUUUUGAGAUCUGAGAGUGCACAAGACAAUCUGUCAAAAGUAAUAUUUCAUCUCUAACAUGAACUUAGAAUUGUUUGUACACUGAGUAAUUUUUACCCCUUAUUUUGAAAACAACGGGAAGACAUUUAAUAUUUGUCCAAAAGUUUAGCUGACAGCAAUAAUUACGGCUAAUGAAGACAAAGGGACAAUAUUUUGUGAAAGUUUGUCAUUCUGACCUGACUGAAUCAUCUGAUGUCUUCUAUUUUCAGUGUGGACUUUAUGUUAAAAUAGCCAUAGCUUACUACUGUCACAAGUAAAAUGGUUAAGGUUACUGUAAGGUCUUUUUCAUCUGGAGAGAAGACUUGUAAGAACCAAACUAUUUCAAAACUUCUUUCUUUAUUAUUAAAUUCAUUCUGAUAACAUCCCUCUCCCUAAUGCAUUAUGCAUUGAAAUUCUGGCGAUUUUAUACUAGCUCAUUGCUCAAGAUUCAAGAUAUAUUUUUAAAGUUUACUUUGUACUGCAAAGUGUCAGUUGAAAGUACCUAAUCUUAUUAUGGUCAAAUAUUUUAUUAUGAGGUGCCCCAAUAAUCCAACAUAAACAGGAAGGUAACUUACCUGGAAUGUUUUCACAGAACAACUUGAAGACCAAGCUGAUCAUUAUGUAUGACUCCCAAGAUAAAUGACAAAUUUUAAAAGCUAUUUUUAAACCAAGUUAUUCUUAUAUUAAUGCACGUAAGUGUCUUCCAUUUAAUGUAAUAAAUCAAAUCUAAGUCUGUCCAACUUUUACCUGGAGAUGUUAUCUGUAUUGCCUUGCUUUUGUGAAUCAUUAGCUACUGGAAUAAUCUUAAGAAGCCUUACUUAUGUCUUUAUUUUAAUAACUAACAUCAACUGCAACACACAUUAUAUCCCCUCUAAGCUGAUAUUUGAUUAUAAGGAAUGACAGACCUUUCAAUAAGCAAAGUAGCCUCCAGAAUCUUUGAAGAUCUGGACUAACUUCCAACUCCCAACUGAAAGUCUGGGCAAAUCCCCCAGGGAGUUAUUAAUAAUUUGGAAAAAGAAAAUAAAAAUAAAAUUAUGUACCUGCAGAAAAUUGAUAUAGCCUAGUGACUUGAGAGGAGUAGAUGGAAGGUGCGGUCCAUAUACAUAUUCACCUACUAUAGCUCUACAGUCUUGCAAAAAGAUAGCAAUAAACAAAACAAUUUAGUAAAAAUGUGCUACAGUUACACUUGGAACGUUACAGGUUAAAUCAUUAGCAUGUGGUGCAAUUUAAGAUGCUCUUGGUGCCUACCUGGCCUCCAGCUGCCAUCCCAGAAGGCCUCUCAUAGGUUGUGUCACAUCUGACAGGCUCCUGUAUCAACACCACAGCAGACUAAAAAACAUAAUAAUAAAAAUCAGAUAGUGCAGUAUUCAAUAAUUCUAAGUAAAGAAGUUUACUCCUAAACUUGUUAUCAACUAACUUUGCUUGUAUAACCAGAUUUCAUAAAUUAUAUACUAGUCAGUAGCUUAGCUAAAAAAAUUCCAUUCAACAUCCUCAUGAUCUGUAAUAGAAACAAGCAUAAAAUAAUCACACGGGAAAUAGCAAUAUAGAGAUUUUACACAUCAAAAUGCAAUCUCCAGUAAUUCAAGACUGUUCUCAUGCUAGUAAUAGAACCGCUUAGAUUUAGCGGCAGAAGACAAUUGCAUGUCGCAGAGUGCCAUAAUACAAAAUGAGGAACUUUUAAUAUCUGCGAGAAAAAAAACUACAUUAUUAGCAUUCAUAGCCUAGCCCGUAAUGUACUGUAUUUCCGUGACUUAAGAGCACUAUUUGUUUGAUCUAUUCAAAGCAAUUCUGGAUAGGAAGAUCUAAUUCAUGGACACAACCUUAUUACAGCAUCUGACACCAACAGGACUAUUGCUGAUUUUCCUGCUCACCACAGGACGACUGGGUACAAACUGUAAGGACAUGUUCAUGUUUAAUUAUUACGAAAAUGUCACGUAAAGAAUGAGAAGGGAGUUAAAUCACUGUCCAAAGAUUUAAGUAAGGUUUUAAUAACAUGCUGCAUGUGAAUUAUGCUUCCAAUAACACAUAAAUGUAUCAUGAAGCUUUAGCUGGUACAAAGCAGUUUCUCAUGGCUUAAUGCAUUUGGGAAGAGAAUGGCUGUACUUUGUGGUAACAGAAAUGCCAAUUACAAAUCAAACUCAUAGUUUAAUUCACUUAAUUACAGCUGCAGUUAAGACAAAAGCCCUGUUUAAAUACUUUCUCUUCAGUUUGUGAAAGUGGAGGGACAAUAUUCAUGUCCUUACGUUUACAGGGGAACAGAAAGGGAACUGCAGCUGUUUGCUCCCAGUGUACCUGUGGUUAAGCUGGACUGCAGCCGCACUGCGGCCCCUCCUGCCUUCACCUCAGGGAACGGCGGAUCCUUCCUCACCCGCCAUGUUUCUACCCGCCACAGCACCUCCAUCUUUGUUACCUCUGUACCCAGAGCACCCACCCGUGCAAACGUGAGGAACGCCUACAGCAGAAAGGCAAUUUUGAAGGAGCUAACACGCUUGAUUCUUGGUGUAUGCGGUGCCUCUGCCCAGGUGUUGGCGGGAAUCUCCGCGAGGAGGCGCCAGGGCUGCGCGGCGCCUGAGGCGGCUGGUUCCAACUGGUUCUGGCCGAGCCCACUGCAGGGCGCCGCUGAGCUCACCGCCGGCGCUGCCCAUGCCGCUGUGGAAAACACCGCACAGCUGCGAGGAGCGAGGAUAAAAAGGUGCGAGAAAUGAGCCCCAUGAGCAGCCAGGGAGGAGGAAGAGCAGGAGCUCUGGCUGCCGAUGCAGACACUCCGCUGCAGCCCCCGGUGGAGCAGAUUUCUUCCCGCAGGACAGCAGCUGUGGAGAGGAUCUGCGCUGUGGCGGGGGGCAGCACGAGCUCUGGGUCGAAUAAGCUGAGAACGGCACAUGUAGUUGCUUGUAUACUCAACUUGCCAUGUGAAUUGUCCUUGGGAAAGUGGAACAUGCCUCAGCGGGUGAAAGCAACAGCACCACCAGACAUUUCAGAGAUGCCUUGUGGUGGCCUCAUGUAAGAAGCUGCUUGAUCUUCAGAUUCUUCUUCACUUUACUUACUAAUGGAGAGAGGAGGAGCAGCUCUGCUCUUCCAAGGAGAGCCAGUGCAAUAAAAAUAAACUAACAGCUCCUGUGUUGGUGGAAUUGGUUCUAGCUACAGGCUAAUUAAUACCCCUCUGCAAGCAAAAUUGACAUUUUAAGGAGUAUUUGGAAGAAGGGAUUUUGAUAAUAUUAUAAGAUUUAUUUAUCUCUAAGGGGAGACUCUAUUCACCAUGUUCCAGUGUUAAAAGGGUGACUACAAAGACGACUGAGACUCCCUUUUUGCAAGGAGUCACAUGGAAAAGAUGAGGGGUAAUGGGCACAAGUUGCUUCUGGGGAGAUUGAUUGGACAAAAGGGGGAAAUAUUUCUUCAUGAAAACAAUCAGCCAUUGGAAUUAUCUCCCGAGAGAAGUGAUGGUUUCCCAGACAUUGGACACUUUUAAGAUUCAGGUGGACAGGGUGGUGGGCCAUCUUGCCCAGACUGUGCUUUUGCCAAGGAAGACUGGACCAGAUGAUCCUUGUGGUCCCUUCCAGCCUGGUAUUCUAUGAUUCUACAAUAUAUAUGUAAGCAUGAUUCUGUUAAAAAGGCCUCAUCACAAGCCUAGCUGCAGGAGAACCGUAACAGAGCCUGGCAGCUUGGAUUUGUCCUGACUGCUUCUUUUGGGAUUUAAAUAGCAAUCUUUUAGUCUCAGCCCCAUCCCUGCAUCUGCUUUAGCUGGAAGUGAGCAAGAACAUCCAGAUUUUACACAAGCAGACUGCUUUUGGCCUCAGGACAGCUGCCAAGCCUUCAAAAGCCAUUGCUAUUCAGAUCCCACUACUCUACCUCUGAGAAAGCAACCAUAAUAUUGCAUGUAAACGUAAUACUACCAUGAAGUAUUUGUCAACCUUUGCAGGUUUACGUUUUGUUCAGUGUUUUAUCUCAAACCUCAAAUUAGCACAAAAACACCUCCAUACAAUGGGAAAGAUUUCAGUCCCUAAACCCAUGAAAGCUGAAGUGAGUUACUUUACAAGAUCACAAUUAAAAGUUUAUUUGCAUUGUACACAGUCAACCCGCUUACACUCUAAAUUAUCUUGUUAUUACAGUGGUACAGGAACUUUUAAAGAGAUGUUAAAGGAUUUGAACCUGCAUUAUCUCAUUAUUCUUACGCAAUCCGUCAAGAAAUCAGUGUAUUGUGUAUGACUAGAA